AUAUAUCUGCAUUUAUACAUUAUUUAUUCAUAUUGUUCCAAACUUCUUUGACUUUCUUUUGUGGAACAUAUAAUGCGAGAUUUUGCAGAAUGUUCAUGCUGCUCGAUUGCAUUCAGUAAAUAUAUGAUUGUGGACGCUUGCAAAUAAAGGAAUAAAUUACAUUUUUAAAUAUAUUAAAAUAGAAAACAGAAUGGCUUCAAAAGAAUUGGAAUAUAGAAAAUGAGUCAUAUUGACUACUUUUAAUUAUUCUUUUUUUUUUCAAAUUUGAGGCUUGAAAGAGCAGUAUGAACAUUCUACAAAACAUCUUUUGGAUUCCCGCAUAAGAAACGGUAGUUUAUUUUAUCACACACAGGAAAAGUGUGGGGUCAGGGGUUCCUAGGGAAAGCAAGAACUGAUAAAAUGUAAAUGUAUAGCGUGAAAGCAGUGUAAGUCACUUUUUACAAGCAUAAAUAUAAAAGUAGAGAAUAGGUCAUACAGGUUUGGAACGUCCUGAGGGAGUAAAUAAUGACAGGAUAUUGUUGCGUGAACUUUGCACUGAAGCAUCGAAAACAAAUGUUUAUUUAUUUAAUUAUUUUACAAUUUGUGGUAUAUGUGUAAUGAAGGCCAUUAUGUGCAAGCUGAAAAUCUGUUUACAAAUUUCUCACAUCAUAUUUCCUCUCACUGUCUGCAGUCCAACAUUGCAGCACAUAGAUCAAUGAAAAAUACAUUAUGACAUAUUAAUCUUUUAGAAACCUUCCACUAAUAGCUCUCAACCAUGCUUCAAUGCACAUCAGUCUGUAAAGAUGUGAUGAGAGAGUUCAUUUAUUAUCACAGAAACGUGACUUUAAACUAAAUCAGAUGGUGUUAAUCGGUUUAUUCUUAAAUACCUGUGAAAGGGGGAUGAUUUCAGGUAAAUUGGGACAUGUUUUAUAAAUCAGUGUCAAAAAGUGAUCUAGUUUACCUGAAUUCUCCCUAACAAAACAAUAGUUGCUGCUAGACAACUUUGAUGCUUCUCUGAAUAACUUUUUGCUGGAACAACAAAUACUGGCCAAAGUUCACGCCAAAACGAAAAGUCUGUCAUGUAUUCACCCUCAUGUUUUUCCAAGCGUCUGUUUCUUCUGUAUAGAGGUGAUACGACGUAUAAGACGCGAUAGAAGCGAACGAUUCUGCAUAUCAUCAAAAGUCAUACAGGUUUGGAACGACUUGAGGAAAUUACAGGGGUUUGAGGGGGUUAACUAUCCCUUAAACGACAUAUGCGCCUCAGGUGAUCUACGACUCCUCAAGUAAUUUGCUCUUUGUUUGAUUUAAAAGACAGACUCACUAAGGAAACUAAGAGUUAGACUACAUGUUGACCUCUUAAUCGCUUUUAUAACAUCCACAUCCCCUCGUCUCCCCCUCCCCCCUGCUCGCGAAUAUGUGCAGAAAAGAAGCACAGACAUGCCUCGUGCAGAGAUCAGUCACUGAGAAUGAGGCGAAACGAGCGCGAGUGAGAGAAGAGGAGCGCGCGCGCCUCACUGAGCGCAGAUUGGAGAGCUCCUUUCCGCGCGCAUUGAUUACGCGAAUCAAAUGGAUUUCUUAAAAUGAUUCAUUUAAAAUUUAUAGCCAACAUCUAUUUAUUAAUAUGUAACCGCAUAUAAAUUCCUAAGGAAGGGUGUCCUAUUACAGAUAGCCUAUAUUUAAUGGAAGAAUGCAGUGACACCUGCAUUCCGAAGCGCGCAUUUUGUUUUCUGAUCGUCGUACCGACAGGGAUUCGGUCUUGAUGCGGUGUUUACCUGUUAUCAACUAUAAUGGCAGAGCUGGAAGUUUUGAAAAAUAUCAAUUUUGAGAAGGUUGAGCGAUGCAUGAGUGUGAUGCAGUCGGGGACUCAGAUGGUGAAGCUGAAGAACGGUUCUAAAGGUCUGGUCCGACUCUUCUAUUUGGAUGAACACCGUUCCUGCAUCCGCUGGAGACCGUCUCGCAAGAGUGAGAAAGCCAAGAUCACCAUCGACUCACUCUACAAGGUCACAGAAGGUCGUCAGUCUGACAUUUUCCAUCGCCAUGCAGAAGGGAACUUUGAUCCGAGUUGCUGUUUCACUAUUUACCAUGGCAAUCACAUGGAAUCCCUGGACUUGGUCACCUCUAAUUCAGAGGAAGCGAGGACAUGGGUGACCGGACUCCGAUAUCUGAUGGCCGGUAUCAGUGAUGAAGAUUCACUAGCUAAGCGGCAGCGCACACAUGACCAGUGGAUGAAGCAGACCUUCGAGGAGGCUGAUAAGAAUGGAGAUGGUCUUCUGAACAUUGAAGAAAUCUACCAGCUUUUACACAAGUUGAACGUCAACUUGCCUCGCAGAAAAGUCAAACAGAUGUUCCAGGAAGCAGACACUGAUGACCAGCAGGGCACACUGACGUUUGAGGAGUUCACUGUCUUCUAUAAGAUGAUGUCAUUAAGGCGAGACCUCUAUCUGCUGCUCAUGUGUUUCAGUGAGAAGAAGGAUCACCUGACCGCAGAGGAACUUGGCAACUUUCUGCAUGUGGAGCAAAAGAUGUCCAAUGUGACCCCUGAGUACUGUCUCGACAUAAUCAAUAAGUUUGAAGUCUCUGAGGAGAACAAGCAGAAUGGAGUUCUUGGAAUUGAAGGGUUCACCAACUACAUGCGGAGCCCAGUCUGUGAUGUGUUCAACCCUCAGCACAACGACGUCAAUCAAGACAUGGAUCAGCCUCUGUGUAACUAUUUCAUAGCCUCUUCCCACAACACCUACCUGACUGGAGAUCAGCUGCUGUCCCACUCCAAGACGGACAUGUAUGCUUGGGUCCUGCAGGCCGGCUGCCGCUGUGUGGAGGUGGACUGUUGGGAUGGUCCAGACGGGGAGCCUAUGGUCCAACACGGUUACACUCUGACCUCCAAAAUCACCUUUAAAUCUGUCAUUGAGACCAUCAACAAAUAUGCCUUUGUAAACAAUGAGUUCCCCGUGAUCCUGUCCAUAGAGAAUCACUGCAACAUUCAGCAGCAGAAGAAGAUAGCUCAGCACCUGAAAGAGAUCUUCGGAGACAAGCUGGAUGUGGGCGAAGCUCUGAACAAAGACCCAAAGCAGCUCCCCAGUCCUAACUCACUGAAGGGCAAGAUACUUAUAAAGGGGAAGCGUCUUCCUCCUUACUUGUCUGCAGAUGCUGAAGAGGGUGAGGUGUCUGAUGACGACAGUGCUGAUGAGAUUGAAGAUGACUUCAAGCUGAAGAAUAGCAUGUCCAAUGGGUCCAGUCAGCACCAGGUGGAGUCCCACAUCAGGAAGAAACUAGACUCACUGAUGAAAGAGUCUCAAAUUGGGGACAAAGAGGACACGGACAGUUUCUCUAUCCGAGCGCUGCUCCGUGCCACCCAUGAGGGAAUCCAAAGAAACCUGCGCAAGAAUUCGAAAGAUGGAAUGAAGAAAUCCCAGAGCCGCUCCUUCAUUAGCAACCUCAAGCACAAGAGGCACUCCAAAUCAAGGCUGAAAUGUCAGAGUGUUGAGACAGAUGAUGACGGGCAGCAGGAGCCAUCAGGUGGACAGUUUAACAGAGGUGGAAGAAGAAGGAAAACGAUAAAGCUGAGUAGAGAUCUAUCAGAUCUGGUGGUGUUCACCAACUCUGUGGCCUCUCAGGAGUGUUUAGAUGAGGGAUCGCCCUAUAAUGUUCUGUCGUUUAGUGAGACACGAGCUCAGCACCUGGUGCACCAUCGAUCUGAGCGCUUCUUAAAUUUCAACCAACGUCAGCUCUCUCGGAUCUAUCCCUCUGCCUACCGGAUCGACUCCAGUAACUUUAACCCACAAACGUACUGGAAUAUGGGAUGCCAACUAGUGGCUUUAAACUACCAGACUGAUGGACGUAUGAUGCAGCUGAACAGAGCCAAGUUCAUGGUGAAUGGAGGCAGUGGCUAUGUGCUCAAACCUGGCCCGAUGUGUAAAGGCUCCUUCAACCCACUGAAUGAUGAUCCACUCCCUGCAAAUCCGAAGAAACAGUUGGUGAUAAAAAUAAUUAGUGGACAGCAGCUGCCUAAACCUCCAGAUUCAAUGCUGGGAGACCGUGGUGAGAUCAUUGAUCCCUUCGUUGAGGUGGAGAUUAUUGGUCUUCCGGUGGACUGCUGUAAAGAACAAACCAGAGUUGUGGAUGAUAAUGGAUUUAACCCUGUGUGGGAAGAGACUCUGUCUUUCACCCUUCACAUGCCCGAGGUGGCUCUAGUACGCUUCCUGGUUUGGGAUCAUGACCCCAUUGGACGAGACUUUGUGGGCCAGAGAACCGUAUCUUUCAGCAGUCUCAUGCCAGGAUAUAGACAUGUUUAUUUGGAAGGAAUGACAGAGGCAUCGAUUUUUGUCCAUAUCACAGUGCAUGACAUCUAUGGGAAGUGGAGUCCUUUAGUCCUCAACCCAAGCUAUACCAUAAUGCACUUGCUAGGAGCUAAUAAGGGUCGUCAGCUGCGAGGUUUUAGAGGCUUAUUUAAUAAAAGUUCCAAGUCCUCAGUGGACACGCAUAUCGGAGUUCAACCUCGUAAGCGAUCCAUAACCGACCACCUCCUUCGGAGGACUGCCAGUGCCCCUGCUAAGGGCCGCAAAAAGAUAAAGAUGCCACUGACUGAAGCUACAAGUGACAGAAAGCACAGCACUGGGGAGCCUCAAACAACUUGUGUAGAGAAGAGAGUAGGAAACAGAAAAGCCCUCCAACACCGCCCAGCAUCCAUGCCCCUGGAUAAGCUCCUACAUAGUCAUCUCAGCCUGUCCAACCCAGAUCAGGAGGGCCCUGAUCCUGGAGCUGACACAGUCGUUAAUUCCUUCCUCGGUGAGAAACCCAGAUCUAUCUCAGUGGAUCUCCUCUUUGAAACUUCUGCCUUCAAAGAACCUGAUGUCCAUGCCCUUUCAGCUGACCGCAUUCAAGACUGUAACAUUGAGCCCAAAGAUACAAAAGAAACUCCUUACCUGAUCAUUGAGGGCAGUAGGGAAAGUCUGGGUAAUUCUAACCAGGAACACUCAAGAGGUGGUCUCACCCAGACCGAAGCUGAUAAAUUAUGUUCUUCCAAAGUGCCAGCAGACCACUUGUCAGGUCCUGCAGAUCAGUGUAAUGGUGGCAGUAGCUCACUUAGUGAAGUAAGUCAUAGAGAAUUAAGCCAGUUGGAAGCCCCUAAAAAGAACAUUCUAACACCCAAGGCAGCCACGUAUUCUUUGACUUCCUCUUCUUCCUCAUCUUCAGGAACCAUCACCAAAUUCUCUCCUAGAAUGACUCUGCCAGACCAGAAGAGUCAAGUGUCCCUCCAGGACAGUGCUCUCUCUCGCCUUAUUGACGCUGUCUCACUAGAGAACGAGUCUGACACCUGUGGGUCCAUAUCUGCUCUGAUUGGCCAAUUUGAGCUCACUGCUGAGCAGAGCUCCCUAAUUCCAUCCAACUCACAACCAAUGAAAAAUUUUCUUCCUCCAUCUGACCUUCUUCAUCUCAACACUGAGCUUUCCAGUACACCACUAAAACUUAUCCAAAAAUCUGUGUGCGCAACCUCAGAGCUAACCGAGAGACCUUCUAGUCCUGAAACGACUGAACCUGCAUUCUUUACCAUCUUGGAUGAGGAGGUGCUUUCUCCUGUACCUACAAACAGCCUUUGUCAAACCAACUUUCACAAUGACUUGGUUGGUUCUCCUGUGGUCAGCAAGGGAUCCUCACCCAACAAGAUGACUUUAGAAUGGUCUGCAUGUGGAAAUCUAAAGCAAAACUAUGGCAGCGAAUGCCAUUCCACUGGUUCCUUCAGAAACUUUGAAUUUGGAGGAUACAGAGAAACCUCAAUCAACAGCACAGCCUCAGACCGCUUCUUGCUGUGCCAAGACUCUGCAAGCAGCAGUCUGAUGGAGGUGGAGAUCAAUGUAGAUGGGGAUCCCUUAGAUAACACACUGACCCCUUUUAGUUCUUUUCACAGGUUCAAAAGUGUUCACAGUUUAAACCAGACCUCCCCCUGUCAUGUACAAAGACUUGAACCAACCCAUCUCCACAAACCCUCAUACAGUCCCUCUCCUGUUCACUCAUACUCCACAGACACAUCACCCUUUCACAGACACUACAAAUCUCCUCACCAAAGUCUGAACUCUAGCACCUACCUUACUAACAAAUCGCAGCAAAGGAAGUUUAACUGUUAUAAUGACUCCGGGAGUUUUACACUUGGUGACCACAGAAUAGAUGCCACAGAGGGAAGGCACCAGGAGACAAGAGAGAAAAACAGCUUGGUCAGCAGGGCAGAGCAUAUACACAAAAUCUCUUUGUCUUCAGAAUGUCUUGCAAAGAAUCAAGAUUGUCAUAAUUUGUUAAAGAGUGACUUGUACUCACCUGUAUCAGACUACAACAUGAUUUCAGUUGAAUCGCAAGACUCCCAGCCAUCUUCGCACAAUCAGGCCUUUUCUGUACCAUCUCCUCAGAUGUACAAUGGACUCUCUCCAGCUUCCUCCAAGUCCAAGAGCCUGGGAGACCUGACCUCUGAGGACAUUUCAUGUAACUUUCAGAGCAAGUACAAGUCAAUCAGCCGAAGUUUUGUCACUCCUGCAAUGAAAGACCAAAGACGGAUAUGUAGGUUGUCUGGUCAUCCAAAGUCCACCGAUCCCUUUACUGAGCAGCUUCGCAAGCUUGUAACAUUGGAAAACGAAGACUAUGUGCGCCCCCUUCCCUCUUGUUCUCAACCCAUCCCAAAACCCCUUUCAGUGCCCCCUCUGGUUUCUCAGAGCUCUGCCAAUGAUCCUGAAGACCCUCCACCAUUUUUGUCAAGGCGACUAUCGUCCCGCAGUCAAAGUCGUGUACGUCAUAUAGCCAGUCGUGCACGCGAAAGACAGCAGGAGGCCUUCAAACAACGGCCUGUUGAGGGUGCCAUGGAAGUAUUACUCCGUAGUAAGCCAGUCUCCUCCCAAAAUCCUCCACUGAACAGGCAUUCUACAGGCUCCUAUAUCACUGGUUACCUGGACCAGCUGAGUCCUGAGCCCAGAGGCUUGCCUGAAGGAGCCUGCACCUCACUACGUUAUGUAUACGGAGAUCGCUACUGUAAUGAUGAUUCUGUACACCCUCCUGACUUCUCCAACUCAUCAGAACCUGAGGUCUUCUUCCUACUUAGGCUUUGACCUUUCAUCUCACCUGCUGUUUUUGACUGUGCAUGUAGGAAAUACAUGCACAGUCAAAAACAGCAGGUGACAAUUACAACUACAUGUAGCAGGACACUUCCAGAACUGAGUACAUAUGGCAUAUAACAUGGUCACCUACAUGUGCCACUCCUGCUGUAUUUAACUAAUUAUUUUAUAUACAUGUGGUCCCUGUCAAGCUUGGAAAAAAAAAAAAUGUUGUUCAAAAUGUGUGUUGUCUCAAGGUUAAAAAAAAUAAUAACAGUACAUAACUGAAUUGGAUAUUUCUUGCAGACUUUUUUUGUUGUUGUCAGCUAUUUGUUCUUUUUUAAACUAUGAAGUACAACCAAGUCAUGAAGGGGCUUCUGAUUCUAUUCAGUCUUCCUGCAUAUUAUGUUAUUUGUAUGUCUGUGUAGUUUGAACAUAUGUUGGUAAAUUUAUCCUCAGUCAAAUCACUAUUGGUUUUCAUUUAAAUUUUAAGUAUUAUGAUGUUUUUUUCUUUAGCAUGUGAACCGUGAACAUUUUCAGCAUGACUAUGCACAGACCUGUAGAUGCUGUGCUCUGAUUUUGCACAGAAUGAUUAUGUUGUAUUGAAUGCAAUACAGCACAUUUACCUGCUUGCUCUGACUUGCUUGCUUUCUAUUAGUCAUGAAUUUAAAGAUGUUUGAAACUCUUCUUCAUAUUCUAAAGCUGUAUGGUUAAAGUUUUAUUUUUAUAAUUGCUUUGAUACAGAGAGCAAAAAUAACAUUUGUUAGACUUAAUAUUUAGUUUUCUUUUUAAAGAGACAAAAAUAUGUUUUUUUUUUUCAACUCCUCUGUGCUUAAAGACAUCUAGUCUGUUGUUAUUUUUAUUGUUGCUCAUCCAAGAUGAGUGUAAGCAUUUUCCUACCAAUGCAAUAAAAUUAGGAAAUGUAUGCUAUGAGGAAAAUAUAUUUUUGUGUGGUUUCUCUUAUCUGCUUGUCUAAUAACGGUAUAUCCAAUUGUAAUUUUUAUGCUAUAUUCUUUUAUUUCUGUUUUGGCAUUGCCUCAUAUAUUUACCUCCUAGAUGCAAAUGUCCAUUCCUUGGCUGCAAAAAGCUGUAAACUAGGUUGCGGUAUUCCAUGAUAUUGUUAGUCUCUGAGUAACAGCAAACACAAAAACAGCCUCAUUCUGAUGUUAGACAGGAUUGUUUUGUUGAGAUGAGAGUUUGUAAUUAAAAAAAUCAGGCUUUCUCACAGAUGGGGCUUUGUUGCUUUAAGUCUGAAGAUAACUGUGUCUCUCUGCCCCACACUUCCAAGAAUGUUUAAUGUCCCUGUGCAGCUCUAUUUAACAGUGAACCCAUCAAAAAUAUAAUUGUUUUUAAUUCUGUAACUCAGAGGAGGUGCAGUUUUGCCUCAUGUUGUUUUCCUUGGUCCUUGUUUUUCUUCUGCUCUUUUGGGACUGUGGUCAAAAGAAAUAUCUCUUCUUGUCCUACACUGAUGCACAAGGGUGCUGGUAAUGCCAAACUUUGCCAUGCCUGUACAAGUCCUAUUGUUGCUCCCACUUUCUGAGCUGGUGCUUUAACUGUGUGCAGUGUGUGGGGCUGGGAUGGGGUUUUCUGUGGUAGACAGAGACUCUGCAGGAAAAGUGUGUGAACUUGGAUGCUUCACAGAACUUAGACGGUGAUGGUUUCUACCAGGAUGGUGAUGUGAUUAUUGGUGCUCUCAUUAAUGUACAUAACAUAACCUUGCUGCAACUCCUGACCUGAGCUUCACCAGAAAAACUGAAUUAGCGCCAUGCUUAGGCUUUUACAGCACAUUGGACAAGUUCAUUUCACCACUCAGUCGGGAGAGGAGUUUUAUCUCCUGGACAACAGCAUCCCACCUGUCUAUAACCUGGUGAACUGGCAGAGAGCUCCUGAUGGUUUGCUUAUAUAUAUUUCCAUUGGAAGAGUGGAUGGGAACCAGCUCAUUAUUAAUGAGUUUGCCAUUUCAUGGCCUGAAGACUCCAGGAAGAGGCCUGUGUCCAUGUGCACUUCUGAGUGUCCCCCUGGGACACAUAAAGCCAUUAAGAAGGGUCUGCCAGUGUGCUGUUUUGACUGCCUGCUCUGUACCGAGGGGGAAUCAGUAAUAGAGUAGGUCAUUAAAGUUCCCUAACACUAAUUUCUAAAGUCACUAAAUACCAUAAAGCUUUAAUUUUCCUCUUUUUAUUUUUUCCCUAGGCUCAAUAAAAUGUUAUCGCUGUCCUCAAGUGUUCUGGUCUAAUAGUUUCAGAAAUGAAUGUGUGUCCCAUGAGACUGAGUUCCUUUCCGUUAGAGAAACAAUGGGCAUCACGCUGAUAAGUGUUGCUGUUUUGGGUAUCAUCACAGUGGCUGUGAUUUUCCUGUACCAAAAGAUCAGUCUGAUAGUUAAAGCAACAACUCAGAGCUCAGCUUCAUUCUUCUGUCUCUCAAACUCUGUUUGUAGGCCAGCUAUCACUCUGGUCAUGUAGGAUUCAACAGGCUGCUUUCAGGAUCAGUUUUGUCCUGUACAUCUCCUGUAUUCUGGUCAAGACAAUUGUGGUUCUAGUUGCAUUUCACUCCACUAGACCUGGAUCCUCAGCUCUUAUCAAAUGAUUUGGACCAGGUCAGCAGAGAGGAAGUGUUAGUAGUAGUAGUAGCCCUUUAUUGUCACUAGUCACAAGUACCAGUGAAAUUAGCCAUCAACCUGUCCAUACAUACAUACAUAUACACAACAUACAUACAAUAUGACAAGGGGGUAGACAAGACAGGGAAUUGAGGAAGAAAUACAGCAUAACAUGAGGAAGGGGAGGAGAAAAAAAAAUAACCCCCAGACUAUGCUCCUUUGGGAGUACAAUGUGAGAACAGGAAAAACACCUCAGCAACAAAAGCACAUAAUCAAUACAGCAUAAACACACGACUUUGCAACAGGGGAGGGGAAGAGGGGUGUUGAGGUAAUCCAGUGCAGGCAAGCAGCCAUCCGGUCCUGCAGCCAUUCUCGGCACUGGUCACAGACUGGCGGUACAAAGCGGCGAAGGCGAGGGAUGUGGGGUGGGGGGGUGAAUGCAUAUCUGUAUAUGUGUGUGUAUGUGUAUGUGUGUGUGUGUGUAUGUAUGUAAAAGUUCUUUUAUGUAGGCCUGGAGAGUUGCUACUCCUGGCAUCAAAUCUAGGUGCCUCAGUCCGCAGGAUUGUGAUAGCGAUACACAGUAAGUUGCCAUGGAGACAACCUUGAUCAGGUCCCAGACAGAGUCAACAAUCAGCAGGUGUCUGUGGAAGUGGGGGUAGGAACGCAAGAGCGUCUCACUGCAGUGCUCUUCCGGGGGAGUUAUUAUUCCAACAGCAGCCUUGGCCAAGGCCAGUGCUGGUUGAGGGGAGUCGAAAGUAGAUAAGAUUAGGGUUGUUUGGUCUUGGGGCGAGUAGCCACAUUCCAAUUUACACGACUACUCUCUUAGUCCAUUCUGGUCCCAAAUUGAUCCAUUUGACUUUGCAAAGCCAUGAGCCAUGACUUUGCUUCUCCGUGAUGUUAUCCAUAUUGCGGUUAAUAGUCUCAGUCUCAGUGCUGACCGCUCUGCUCACUGCUCCAAUCACAACGGGCAGCCCUGUGAGGUUUUGGACAGCUGUUCCCGUUCACUGAAUUCUUCGAUAAACCAGGGCAAAGCCUAAUCCAAUCAGCAGAAGACCUGUUAUCAUGGUUCCGAAUAGGUAGAUAUCUUCAAUGUCCUCCACGGAAAGAGACGCCAGACACACGACCCGCAUUUCCCACGCGUCCAUCAUGUAGCCAGCUGCGAACGUUCCGGCAGGGCAGUCAGGUUCCCCCGAACCCAAGCUUCUCGUCGAGAAGAUGGUGUCAAUUGCGUUGAGAGACCAAUUGAUAAAAUCCAUGAUUUCAGUUUCAGUUUGGAGAGCAGUGCAGAGAGAGUCUCUCAAAGUAUAAGACAAUAGACGAGACGAGAGAAGCCAAGCAGGGAAGGUAAGGGGAGGAGAGGGAGAUAAAAUGUGACCGCCUUCGUUAAGAGCCAAACGAGAAGAGUCUUCUGGUCUGAGUGUUCUAGUCUUUACCAGUGUUCAGGUGGUUAUCGGUGCCAUUUGGCUCUCUGUCAGUCCACAUUUACCUCACCGUAAUUUUGGAAUCCAAGGGUCAAAGGUUAUCCUUGAGUUGGGUCAGUUGUGGUAGUCGACCUGUGUUCUAGGCUACAUUGGCUUUCUGGCUGUUGUCUGUUUCCUGCUGGCCGUCUUUGCCCGUAAACCUCCAGAUAAUUUUAAUGAGGCAAAAUUCAUUACUCAAUUACUAAAUUGAUACUAAAUUCAAUUAUUCUUAGAUGGCGGUGCGUCCACACAGAAUGGUGUUUCCGUGUUUUUUGUCUUGUAAGUCGCAGUGUUUUUGUAUGUCUUCAUCACGUCUACUUGUCUUUAAGCGCGCAUACAGUCGUGAGUUUCUGCUGGAUGUCGGCGGAACCGCAUUUUUAGAGUUAAACUCCACGCACCCGGAACAGCUGCGAGAUCUUGGUCUGCUCCGGAGGCCUACACCAUCACAGACCCCACUGCUGCAUCUCACCCACAGCGGAGGUGCC